AACUUUUGGCAACGGAUCACUUGGUUCUGGCAUCGAUGAAGAACGCAGCGAAAUGCGAUAAGUAAUGCGAAUUGCAGAAUUCCAGUGAGUCAUCGAAUCUUUGAACGCACAUUGCGCCCUUUGGUAUUCCGAAGGGCAUGCCUGUUCGAGCGUCAUUAUCACCCCUCAAGCCCCGUGCUUGGUGUUGGACGGCCGGUCGAGCGAUCGACCCCUCCUAAAGACAAUGACGGCGGCCUGUGGUUCCCCCGGUACACUGAGCUUUUAACGGAGCACGUACCGGACCAGGGCACCCGGGACCCGGUCCUCUCCUUUCACUAGGAAACUUCUAAGGUUGACCUCGGAUCAGGUAGGAAUACGCGCUGAACUUAAGCAUAUCAAUAAGCGGAGGCU
rnacentral:misc_RNA from 1 species